rnacentral:rRNA from 1 species
GAUGAACGCUGGCGGCGUGCCUAAUACAUGCAAGUCGAGCGAACGGACGAGAAGCUUGCUUUUCUGAUGUUAGCGGCGGACGGGUGAGUAACACGUGGAUAACCUACCUAUAAGACUGGGAUAACUUCGGGAAACCGGAGCUAAUACCGGAUAAUAUUUUGAACCGCAUGGUUCAAAAGUGAAAGACGGUCUUGCUGUCACUUAUAGAUGGAUCCGCGCUGCAUUAGCUAGUUGGUAAGGUAACGGCUUACCAAGGCAACGAUGCAUAGCCGACCUGAGAGGGUGAUCGGCCACACUGGAACUGAGACACGGUCCAGACUCCUACGGGAGGCAGCAGUAGGGAAUCUUCCGCAAUGGGCGAAAGCCUGACGGAGCAACGCCGCGUGAGUGAUGAAGGUCUUCGGAUCGUAAAACUCUGUUAUUAGGGAAGAACAUAUGUGUAAGUAACUGUGCACAUCUUGACGGUACCUAAUCAGAAAGCCACGGCUAACUAAGUG